rnacentral:rRNA from 1 species
GACGAACGCUGGCGGCGUGCCUAAUACAUGCAAGUAGAACGCAGUUGCGAACGGGUUAGUAACGCGUAGGUAACUACCUAUUAGAGGGGGAUAACUAUUGGAAACGAUAGCUAAUACCGCAUACUAGUAGAUGUACCUGCGUUGUAUUAGCUAGUAGGUAGGGUAAUGGACUACCUAGGCAACGAUACAUAGCCGACCUGGGAGGGUGGUCGGCCACACUGGGGAGGAGAAACGGCCCAGAAUCCUACGGGAAGGCGCAGUAGGGAAACUUCGGACAAUGGGGGAACCCUGACCGAUGAACGCCGGGUUGGUGAAGAAGGUUUUCGGAGCGGAAAGCUAUGUUGUUAAGGAAGCGGUACUUAACCAGAAAGGGACGGCUAACUACGUGCCAGCAGCCGCGGUAAUAC